UACAGAGGGUGCGAGCGUUAAUCGGAAUUACUGGGCGUAAAGCGUGCGUAGACGGCUAUCUAAGUCCGCUGUGAAAGUCAAGGGCUCAACCCUUGGAUGCCGGUGGAUACUGCAGGGCUAGAGUCCGGAAGAGGCGAGUGGAAUUCCUGGUGUAGCGGUGAAAUGCGCAGAUAUCAGGAGGAACACCGAUGGCGAAGGCAGCUCGCUGGGACGGUACUGACGCUGAGACGCGAAAGCGUGGGGAGCAAACAGG
rnacentral:rRNA from 1 species